rnacentral:misc_RNA from 1 species
GAUGAAGAACGUAGCGAAAUGCGAUAAGUAAUGUGAAUUGCAGAAUUCAGUGAAUCAUCGAAUCUUUGAACGCACAUUGCGCCCAUUAGUAUUCUAGUGGGCAUGCCUGUUCGAGCGUCAUUAAUUCCACUUAAGCCCUGCUUAGUGUUGGGAAUCUACUCUAGUGGUGCUACCCUGGAGCUACCCCUGAAAGGGGGCUGGCCCGGUAGCUACCCUGUAGUUCCUCAAAGAUAGUGCGCGGAGUUGCGUGGUCCUCUGAGCUUAGUAACUAUACACCUAGCUUUUGAGUGUCCCGCGGCGCCUGCCGUUUAAACCCCAUCUUUUAAUGGUUGACCUCGGAUCAGGUAGGAAUACUCGCUGAACUUAAGCAUAUCAAUAAGCGGAGGA